rnacentral:rRNA from 1 species
UGGGGAAUUUUGGACAAUGGGGGAAACCCUGAUCCAGCCAUCCCGCGUGUGCGAUGAAGGCCUGCGGGUUGUAAAGCACUUUUGGCAGGAAAGAAACGUCAUGGGUUAAUACCCCGUGAAACUGACGGUACCUGCAGAAUAAGCACCGGCUAACUACGUGCCAGCAGCCGCGGUAAUACGUAGGGUGCAAGCGUUAAUCGGAAUUACUGGGCGUAAAGCGUGCGCAGGCGGUUCGGAAAGAAAGAUGUGAAAUCCCAGAGCUCAACUUUGGAACUGCAUUUUUAACUACCGGGCUAGAGUGUGUCAGAGGGAGGUGGAAUUCCGCGUGUAGCAGUGAAAUGCGUAGCUAUGCGGAGGAACACCGAUGGCGAAGGCAGCCUCCUGGGAUAACACUGACGCUCAUGCACGAAAGCGUGGGGAGCAAACAGG